GUGUGUGUAUAUAAUGCAGUGUGUUUGUGUAGUGUGCAUUACAUACACACACUAUACAAACACACUGCAUUAUAUACACAGUGU